UUUGCUUUUAUAUGUACACAGAUUAAACACUUAUUGGAUUUUAUUUAUUUAUAAUAAAUUAGGCUUGCACUCACACAUCAACAUAAUUACAAGUUAUUGAAAUUAUAUUAAAUUACAAGGUAGGCAUAAAAUAUAUAUUUGGUUCGAAGAGGAGAAAAGUGUUGGUUUAAGAUACUAAAAAGAUUAAAAAUAAAAGAAGGGUUGGAAUUGACAGUAGACAUAAGGUGUAUAAUUGAUUCAUUGAGUUUGUAAUUAAUAGUAGAGCGGUAAGGAAGAACAGGCAAUCAAUUUUCUUUGGAAAGGAUUUUCUGCAGGAAGUUAUUAUUAGCAGAACGUCUGCAGUUAGCUAAGCUUACUAAAUUAACAUUAUAGAAGACGGGGUCAUAGAUAAUUGGAAGGUGAUCAACUUUGAGCAGGAAAGUUGCAUGUUUAAAAAAUUUGCUGGGAAAAAUUAAAAAAUUACCUCUCUAAAGAACAUUAAUAUUUUAUUUUAGAAACAUUGUUAUAAUUACAAUUGGAGCGAAAUUGCCAGUAGAAAAGUUGUGCACAGAAAAAAGGAAGGCCGUAAUAUUUUAUUUAUUAUAUUUAGUAAAUUGUCCCGUCUUUAUUCGGUUUUUCGCACUUGAUGAGAAAACUACUAAGAAAAUUGAAAUCCGGUUUUUAAUCCAAGUCUUGGUAGAAAAAUUGCACACAGAUUAAAAAAAAAAAUC